GUUCUGUAGGGUCUAGUGGUUAGGGCACUUGGUUUUCACCUCGGUUGUCUAGGUUCAAAUCUCAGUAUGAACA